rnacentral:rRNA from 1 species
UUGACCUCAAAUCAGGUAGGACUACCCGCUGAACUUAAGCAUAUCAAUAAGCGGAGGAAAAGAAACUAACAAGGAUUCCCCUAGUAACUGCGAGUGAAGCGGGAAAAGCUCAAAUUUAAAAUCUGGCGGUUCUUGUAGCCGUCCGAGUUGUAAUUUAGAGAAGUGUUAUCCGCGCUGGACCGUGUACAAGUCUCCUGGAAUGGAGCGUCAUAGAGGGUGAGAAUCCCGUCUUUGACACGGACUACCAGGGCAUUGUGAUGCGCUCUCAAAGAGUCGAGUUGUUUGGGAAUGCAGCUCAAAAUGGGUGGUAAAUUCCAUCUAAAGCUAAAUAUUGAGGAGAGACCGAUAGCGAACAAGUACCGUGAGGGAAAGAUGAAAAGAACUUUGGAAAGAGAGUUAAACAGUACGUGAAAUUGCUGAAAGGGAAACGCUUGAAGUCAGUCGCGUUGUACAGAACUCAGCCUUGCUUUGCUUGGUGUACUUUCUGUGCGACGGGUCAGCAUCAGUUUUGGUCGGCGGAUAAAGGCUUGGAGAAUGUGGCACCCUCGGGUGUGUUAUAGCUUCAGGUUGUAUACG